rnacentral:rRNA from 1 species
GAUGAACGCUGGCGGCGUGCCUAAUACAUGCAAGUCGAGCGAACAGACGAGGCGCUUGCUCCUCUGACGUUAGCGGCGGAGGGGUGAGUAACACGUGGAUAACCUACCUAUCAGACUGGGAUAACUUCGGGAAACCGGAGCUAAUCCCGUAUAAUCUAUUGAACCGCAUGGUUCAAUAGUGAAAGACGGUUUUGCUGUCACUUAUAGAUGGUUCCGGGCCGCAUUAGCUAGUUGGUAAGGUAAAGGCUUACCAAGGCAAGGAUGCGUAGCCGAGCUGACGGAGUGAUCGGCCACACUGGAACUGAGACACGGUCCAGACUCCUACGGGAGGCAGCAGUAGGGAAUCUUCCGCAAAGGGCGAAAGCCUGACGGAGCAACGCCGCGCGAGUGAUGAAGGUCUUCGGAGCGUAAAACUCUGUUAUUAGGGAAGAACAAAUGUGUAAGUAACUAUGCCCGUCUUGACGGUACCUGAUCAGAAAGCCACGGCUGACUACGUG